rnacentral:rRNA from 1 species
GUAAAUCGGGCUGUCCAUCAGUUUAAAUAACUGCUGUUAGAAAGGGCCGGGCAAGACCGGUGCCAGCCGCCGCGGUAAUACCGGCGGCUCGAGUGGUGGCCACUAUUACUGGGCUUAAAGCGUUCGUAGCUGGUUUGUUAAGUCCCUGGGGAAAUCUUCCGGCUUAACCGGAAGGCGUCUCAGGGAUACUGGCAGACUAGGGACCGGGAGAGGUGAGGGGUACUCCAGGGGUAGGAGUGAAAUCCUGUAAUCCUUGGGGGACCACCUGUGGCGAAGGCGCCUCACCAGAACGGCUCCGACAGUGAGGGACGAAAGCUGGGGGAGCAAACCGGAUUAGAUACCCGGGUAGUCCCAGCCGUAAACGAUGCGCGUUAGGUGUAUCGGUGACCACGAGUCACCGAGGUGCCGAAGAGAAAUCGUGAAACGUGCCGCCUGGGAAGUACGGUCGCAAGGCUGAAACUUAAAGGAAUUGGCGGGGGAGCAC